UACGAAGGGGGGCUAGCGUUGCUCGGAAUCACUGGGCGUAAAGCGCACGUAGGCGGGUUGUUAAGUCGGGGGUGAAAUCCUGGAGCUCAACUCCAGAACUGCCUUCGAUACUGGCGACCUUGAGUCCGGGAGAGGUGAGUGGAACUCCGAGUGUAGAGGUGAAAUUCGUAGAUAUUCGGAAGAACACCAGUGGCGAAGGCGGCUCACUGGCCCGGUACUGACGCUGAGGUGCGGAAAGCGUGGGG
rnacentral:rRNA from 1 species